UUCCUACGGGACGCAGCAGUGAGGAAUAUUGGUCAAUGGGCGGAAGCCUGAACCAGCCAAGUCGCGUGAGGGAAGAAGGCCCUGCGGGUCGCAGACCUCUUUGGACGGGGAGCAAGGCCGCCGACGUGUCGGCGGAAGGAGAGUACCCGUAGAACAAGCAUCGGCUAACUCCGUGCCAGCAGCCGCGGUAAUACGGAGGAUGCGAGCGUUGUCCGGAUUUACUGGGUGUAAAGGGCGUGCAGCCGGGAAGACAAGUCAGAUGUGAAAUCCCGCGGCUCAACCGCGGAACUGCAUUUGAAACUGUU
rnacentral:rRNA from 1 species